rnacentral:siRNA from 1 species
CAGGUGGGGAGUUUGGCU